AAAGGCUGGUGCUCGGCAGGAGGAGGACGCGGGCUGGGGCCGUGGGGCGGCGUGAGGGUAGCCCGGGAGCGGUGAGGAGCGUGCGAGGCCCACGUGAGCGGAGGGACGCGGCCGCUCUCACCUUUCCUGAGGGCCCUGGCCCGGCUUUGGACUCCUGAUUCUCCUCUGCUUGCCAGCUGCCGCCCCGCCUCCGCCAGUGGUGCCCGGGCUGCCUGCGCGGCCGGAGUGAACGCGUCCCGGGAGCAGGGGUUUCUCCGAAGUGAGUGCGCCAGCCCCGGGACGAGCUCGUUCGAGUCCUCACCGCCCAGUGCACUUCCUGAAAGCCGGCGGUGGGCUGUCUCCCACCUUGUGAAACUUUGCCAGGUGUCGCUCACAGGGGACUGGGUCCGGACGCGGGUGGCGGCGCUGGUUUGCGGCCCCGGUUUGCGGCCCCGGCGCCGCGAUCCCGGGCCGCGCCCACGCCCAGGCUGGAGGCACCGUGCGCAGGUGGGGACGCGCGGCCGGGAGGUGCGCAGCGGGACCCGGCCGGCCGAGGGUGAGCGCUGCUGGGGACGCUCCUAGUCUGUAACGCUCUGUGAAAAUUAUUUCCUGGAUAGUUUAGGAAAAGCCUCUCCCUUCCCCGCCCCUAAACCUCUAUCUUUUGGGAAUCAUUGAUUUGCUAAAUGACAUUUCGGUGCCUAACCCAUUUUGAAUCCUUGUUCUGCUGUGAAUUUCAUGUGACUGGAGGAAUUUAAUAAGCUACCAACUUGACAGGCUUUAAACUUAAAAAAAAAAAGUUUUGUUACGUUUUUCAGAUUUAGGCUUCCAAGAUGUUUACACUCGCACUGUUACUUUUUUUUUUUUUUUUUUUUUUUUUUAGCAACAUAGUCCAAAUUUUUAAAACUCAGCUGGAUCUUUUGAGGGUUAAUUAAAAGGUGGGUUAAAAAAAAUCUUAAGACUUUAAAUUUAGAAGUCCUACUACAGCUAUGUAGUAGGAGUAUGCAGAAAGAUAAGAAUCACAUUGUAACUCUUUGCGGUGGUGCUGGAACAUCUGUUGGGAGAGCAUAUGCUGAACUCUGUUCACCUCACAAGUUUAUGUCCUAAGAGGCUCAUUCACAGUUCAGUAAAAGGGUGAACUGAAGCCUGAAUCAGUUUCGGGGAUGAAAGGGUGAGAGGGAGAACUGUUUUCAGCACAUUUGAGGUUGGCAAAAUAUAUAAAAGUCACUCUUUCUUGUAAUUUGCUAGUUCUUUACAGUCUUUAGAUGUAAUUUACAGCCAAGAAAACUUUAUUAUGAGGACUUAUACGUCAUUGCCCUUUUUUGCUGUCACCCUCAACUACCCUGGGAUCUUCUACUCAUAUCUCAUCUCCUGUUCCCACUUUUCUAAAGCUUAGGGUGAAAUACUUAGGCAACUAGUAAUAAUAUUAAUCUUGCUAGAUAUUCACAGGUUCAUAGUGAGCCAGCUGUCUAGAUCUGGAUAUCUAGUGAGCAAAUAAAUUCUUUACCUCCGAGUUGAUUUUUGUUUUAUUGAUCGAUUGACACAGUCUUGCUCUGUCACCCAGGCUGGAGCACAGGCUCAAGCAGAUCCUCCUGCCUCAGCCUCUCAAGUAGCUGGGACCACAGGCACGUGACACCACACCUGGCUAAUUGUUUGUAUUUUUUUGUAGAGACAGAGUCUCACCAUGUUGCCCAGGCUGGCAAAUUGAGUUUUAUAUGUGACGCAGUCAAAGGGGCAUUUUCCUUGGCAAUAAGAAGCCAUUUGAUAUGAACUCUCCACAAUAGUUGAUGCAUACAUUUUAUACCAGAAUUCAAAUUUGUAAUCAAUAAUGAUUACUUGGGUGUUUAUAGCUUUGGCCAACAUUAAACAAUAUAGUGAUCAAAGCUUAUACACAUAAGUGACAUAUACCAUGAUUUAAUGAUUUUGGUUAUCCAUCAGCUGGACAAUUUGUUGUUUAUCUCCG
rnacentral:lncRNA from 1 species